AGCAGCCAAAUGCAAUGCCUGAUUUAUCCACCUGGGUGCCAAUCCAGGCCCGCCAUGACCCUCCGGGCCCAGUUUCCCAACCUGAGCUGCCAGUAAGAGCAGAGCUACCCUGGCUUCUUCUUCUCUCUCUUCGUCCUCCUGCUUCAGCCACCAGACACUCCAGGGGUGUGAGAAACAAACGCCCUGUCUCAACGAUCCGCGUGCACAGCGACAUUCCCAUAGCUCUCGUGUAACUCAGGAACGCUCAAGCAACUGUAUUUAGCUCAAUAUCAUUAAGUGCUUGGAUGUUUAUCUGAGAUCCUGCUACCCUUCCCCAAGUACCGGCUCUGGGCAGAAUAUACCUAUUUUCUAUUUGGGUAAAUUAGAAUCUGACCUCUGAACAAUGACACAGUAAAAACAAAACGAAAUGGAACAAAGACAAGACUUCUAUUGCGCAAGAAGCUUCUGGACUACCAGACUUUUUUUUUUUUAAUACCAUGGUCUUCUUUAUUUUCUCAUAGGUACAUCAUAUAUUGUAAUACGAAAUGGAUAUUGACUGCAGCUGAGGUGCCUAUCCACAUGUAUUGACCUCAGAGGUAAAUAUUGACCGAGACAAAGGUAAAAUCGAUGCUUACCUUGAGGGAUAAUAAAUCUGGAUAUCUAUUGAAAUAAGAAGUCAAUAGGUGCAUUGUUACAAACACCCACGGUUAGAGUCACUUGAGCAAAUUUGUACAACGAGCGGUCAGUGGGUGUUUUCUAGAAAACUAGAGGCAGUGGGAGCAGUUCACAGAGGCUGCGCUGACUGGCCGUUUGCUUAUUUACUCCUGUCUGUUUUGCUGCCAGCUAGCACUGGAGAAGGUAAAUAACACCCCCCCAACCACCCCGUCAAAGGAAGGAGCUCAGCCUCUAUGUUCAGGAGGCAGUUACUGAAUUAGGUGUUUGCAUUGGUUCCUGGAAGAAAAAACUGAUGUGGGUAUCCCCAUUUUACAGCCUGGUAAACUGAGGCUCAGAGAACUUGAGAAACUCAUCUGACAGAGAUGAUAAAGGGCGAAGCUCUAAAUUCAAAGCUAAUUGAUGCUAAACUUGUGGUCUUUCUAACACAUCCCUGUCUGCUGAUAUCUGUGAUAAAACUGGGACUCGGGCGAUAGAAAGGUCAGAGAAAGGUGAAUGCAGAGAUCGGAGGGAGCGAGGAAGGGUCUGUUUGCGACAGAAGGCGACCAUCACAACUUCUUUGCAAAAACGGACAGGAAAUUUCUGUGACUCGCACUCUCCCAUCACUGCCGUCGAUCAUUAGCAUCGUUACAGCUGAGUUUCGGUGAGUUGUGCCUCGGGGCCGGGUACUGCGGUAAGCGUCUUACAGAUCUUACCUCGAGUAACUCUCAUAACCCUAAGAGGUCAUAUAGUGGAUAACUUGGCCAUCUAUCCAAUAUUCAUUCUCCAUUUCUCCCUUGAUGGCCGAGCCCCAUUUUGGUCACUUAUCACCCCCUCCACCACAUGGACUAAAACUGGGCUAUGAAUCUUCAGGGGCCUAAGCUCCCAAUCAUGCUGGGUCCAGAUGCUUCCCUAGAGACUGGUUAUACACAGGCAUUUGAUACAAUUCUGGCCAAGGAGAUGUGAGCAUAAGUCUGUUGAGGGGCUUUGGGGAAAGGUCUCCUUGUUCCUGAGAGACACAAAAGAGAAGAGAAGGUGUCUUUCCUUCCAGCAUUACGCCCACUGGUUCCGGUGAUGGGAAUUGCUGUAGCCAUCCCGAAAAUGUGAGAGAGACUCUAACUGAGGAAGAGACUGAUGGACACCUCAGGGAAGUGGAGCCAGAUCAGGACGUGUCACCUCCGGGACCACCUACCUCUGGACUCCAGAUUAGGUGGGAUAACACACUUCCAUACUACUGAAGCCACUGCAAGUUGAGUUUCCUGUCAUAUGCAACCCCGGGCACCUCAACUGGUACAGGUAGGGGCCAUAUUAUCCCCCUUUUACGCAGGAGAGAUCUGGGCUUAGGGAUGUUAAGUGUUACAUGAGGCAACUAGUAUGGUCUAACUCCACAAUCUGAGUUCUUAACUGCUCCCCUGCAACCUUCCCAGGCAUGCUUCCCAUUUGAGGAUAACACCAUAAUCUAGUGGAAACUGGGCCCUGCAAAUGAAAUCAACCAGGACUGGCACUGAUCCCCUCUAUCUGACCUUAAAACUCCUUUCUGUAAGCACGGUAUAAGAGACACCCUCCCAAUACCUACUCCCUUCAGAAGCCCUGGGUUUCAAAACUGUUUUACUGAAUAAUAAGACAUUUCGCCCUGCCUUAACAUGUGAACUGCCGGAGAACUUGGUUAUGUUUCCUCAACACCCAGAGAGGCAGUUUAUCAAAAGGCUUCCGCUCAAGAAACAUCCCAUGUGCGUUCAAUUCUCCUCGUCCAACCUACUCUUUCUUCCUCGCUGAAACAAUCCUUUUCAUUCUCCAAUGUGCGGCAAAAGCGACAGAAUUAAAGGGCGUUUCCUCCACUCUCCUUGACCAUGACCGCCAUCUUGGAUCUGCCUUCCCCACCAAUAAACUACCAUGAUGAACCUCCUGUAAGAGUAUUCAACACACUGGAUUCCUUCAGUAAUCCUCCACUGAGUUCCUGCUAGCUUUUUGCUGUAUGUGUUUCUCUCCUUUAAGACAGGAACUGUAUUUCAUUUAUUUAUGUAAUCCUAGGACCCAUCACGGUACCUGACACAUGGGAGCAAGCACAGAAUUUGCUGAUAAUUAUAGAUCUCAGGUAGGGUAGGAGGUGUCAAGAACAGCUGUCUUUUCCCAGAGAUCCCUAGGGAAAAUUCCAACAAAUAACAACUGCCAACAAAGACCCUCUUCCCCUAGAGUUUUCCAUCUUUUCUCACCUUCUAGCUAAGAAGCAGCAUCACGGUUAAUCCCCUGGUUUCUUAAUCUACAGAAAAAAAGAAAGGGGAAAAAAAGCCAACAGACAGGUUACGACACAGUUAAACUACGGGAAGCCAAAAGAAAGUGAAGAAUCACACGCUCUAAGCUCCAUCUUGCCUUCGUUCUUUGCGGUGUCCAGGGGCACUAGCGAGAGGCACGGUAGGGGAGUCACUGAAGAGUCCAAUCCACCGAGGGCCCACAUUCAACAAAAAGACAAAGACCUUUGGACUCAGACCGAAUUAUACCACAGACUUUCCAUGGUUCUCCCACUUGUAGAUGGCAGACUGUGGGACGUCUUGGCCUCCAUAACUGUGUGAGCCAAUUCCUACAGUAAGUCUCCUCUGUUUGUCUGCCUAUGUAUGUAUGAGUGUGUGUAUCCAUCCAUCCAUCUAUAACCCUAUUGGUUCUGCUUCUCUGGAGAACCCUGAUACAGGUAGUUGGGUCAGAUGAAAUUAAUGUAUCAAUAUGGCGGCCACAUUCGCAGAAAGAGACAUCGCAGCGUGGCUACUAAAUAAUACUGAUGGGAGACAAAGUAGAGAAUGGUCAUUUCUUCCUGGAAGGCUAAGGCUCUCCCCCUCCUCCUCCUCCUCUUCCACCAUGACCACCACUACCACCACUACAAGGACACCUGCGUAUCUCCACAGGGACCAUUCUGGAUGUCUCUAUUCCCAGCACCCUGCUCAGUGUCUGGUACAUAGUAGGUGUUCAAUCAACUGAUGUUAGGUAAGCUGUUAAAGGUAUGAAGAGGUACCUAGGACACCUUAGCAGGAAUGAACGCGAGACAAGUGUUCAGGGGACGGAAUGACCUCACCUUCUCUGAGCCUCCGUGUCCUCAGAAAAAAUGAACUAAACCCAUCACGCAAGUGGCUUUUGUUAAGUUUCAAGAUUCUAGUAAUAUGAGCUUCACUCCUGUUCAUGACCUGCUUCAAGCAAGUUAUGAAGCCACUUCAGAGUCCAAGAAAGGGUGGAUUUUGCUGCUGAGCCAGAGCUUCCUGACAGCCAGGCUCAUCUGAGUACACAGUAGCCCCAUCCCCGUCCCCCCAGGAUAGCAACUAAGCGGUUCACCAGUGGCAGUCUCAGGAAAUCAGGCUGCUAAUUUAAGGCGAUGGCCUGAAUCUUCAUUAUUUGCACCCAAAAACCAUGAGUCAGGUCUCCUCCUGUUUGCCAAAUGCUACAACCCAUUCGCAUUUGGGGCUAUCGUCAUCUGGAGAGUAUUCCAAGGGCUUCAGCUGGAGCAAAAGAGCCCCCCAGGGAAAACUCUGCCCUGUACCUCACCAACACUGACCCUCCCUGCAGCCGCGCAAGGCCGGCCAGCAGCAAAGCAGCCAGGGCCACAGGGAAGCGCAGUCAGAGCCACACAGGGAACAGACAUAAGGCUGACUUUAAUUGCAGGGUCAUAGGAGGAUUUUAUCUAAUUGCCGCAACUACAAAAGAAGAGGUUAAGUCCCUUGAAGACACUCACCAUUUCCAAGAGGAAGGCCCACUUGAUUUACGUAACCACCAGUAAACAUGCAGAAAAACAUGCACUUAAGAGACUUAAUGUUUCCUGACGGCAAUGAAUUGGCGUUCACUGGGACACUGUGCACAUUUCCCAGGAAGAAGUCCUGUCGCGAGGAUCAUGAAACGGUUCCAGACUGCACCAGCUGACCGAUGAAAGCUUGGCUCCAGUUUCUCAAGGACAAGGCAAUGGCCAAGAUUGAGCGCCCCGCUGUCUGGGCCACUUCGCUCCCUCUAUUCCCCACACGGAUGACUCCAAACACCCGGUGAGCCUGGACCAAAGCUCCCGGGAGGAAGGAAGACCUGUAGCUGGGAUGGGAGCACAGGACAACAGGAGAUUCCAGAAGCGGAAGCAUAACGCAGAGCCCGUGCAAUCAGGCCGAGCUCUAUCCUAACUGGAAAUCUGCCCAUCUGGGGAUACAGGGGAAGGGAGAGGAGCCAGGCCUCCAGGAGGAAGGCAAGGCUGAGCCAGGCAGAGAAAAAGAGACUGUUACGUGAAGUGACUUUGAAGAGGGAGCUACUUAAGUCAAGCAAUCGUGGUGAGACGACCAUGCGUGGCAAAGAAGAGAAGAGAGGAACGUGGAAAACAGGGAGCCAUGUGGGAGCCCAGGGCCUGCCUGACUCACACCAAGCCCCCGACCCCCGCCUCUGGCCAGUGGAAGACCAGCCGGGGGCCCAUCUGUGGAUCCAGCCUUGGGGAGCUGGUCGAGGGCUGCAUGAGUAAACCCCACAACUAAGAGGCGGGCCCCGAAGGAGACAGAGGGCGAAGGCAUUGCCAGGCUGUGGCGAUGGUGUCCAUUCAGCUCAGGGUCGUAAGCCCGGGGAGCAGCCGCCACGGCCCGGCUCCUCUUGGCCCCGAACAGAUCAACAUUUGGCCUGAGCUUGCAGAGGACAUAUUACGUGGGCCACCCCACUUACGCUGUCCCUGUGGUCAGAAAUAGCUCAAGGGCGGUCAGAACCACAGCAUUAUAAAUCUGACGCUGUAUUUAGUUCACACGGCCACGGCUGAAGAACUUCUUUUGAGGUUCAGAUGUUAAGGGAUGGAGCCCUAAACUGCCCCGAACGGGCCUCAGCAGAAUCAGGAAGCAGCCCAGCGGUCACCUCUGCCUUCCUCCAGCUUCACUGCCCCACCCUUGGGCACCUCCUCACUCGUUGGGGAAACCAGUUUUGUGCUUUGACCGAGGCUGGAGGAAAACCCUCUCCGAGACCGGCAAAUUCUCUCAAAUGAUUUCCGCUGAGGUAUUGCUCCCAUGCAGUGAAGGGCGCAGCUACGAAGUGUACAGCUUGAUGGGCUUUUACAUGCGUACACGUGCACGUAAUCAUAUCAUCAGAUCGACACAGGGGUCACUUCCAGCACGGCAGAGGGCACCUCCUGCCCCUUCGAGAUCAGCGCCCCUCCCUCACCUGGAGGUGUCUUGGCUGCUGUAGACCUUUACAUUAAUGGAAUCAUACUCUGCACCGUUCUGAGCGCCUGGCUUCUCUCACUCAGCCCUCAGCCUGACUCCCAGACUUUAUAACGUCUAUAAAAAUAGCCCAUCCGCUCACCUGCCUGGGGCUCCCGUUGUGCGCUGGGCUCAGAGCAAUCCUCAUGUUUAAUCCUCACUGCAAACUCAGGAAGUGGCACACUCUUCCGGUUUUACGGAUGAGGACAUGUUAAGUGACCCGGUGGCCAAAGCCCGAGGCUGGAAAUCAGCAUCUUGGGAUCACGGAUGCAAAGAGUUUGGACCCCAAAGUCCAUGUUCUUUCUUCUCGGCCAACUUGCUAUUGACUCUUGACACCAGGGUUGUGAAUAAUUCACUUGAAGCCCUCCUGACAGGGCCUGACACACCAUAUGUAGCCAUAACCAUUAGCUAAGGCGAGGAGGAUGAUAAAGGUACAUGAGGAUGAUUAUGCCGGGCCUUGUAUUAAUGCUGGGGAAGCAGAAAGGAACAAGACAGACAUGGUCUGGGGCCUCAGGGACCUGACAGCUUGCUUCACAGGACAUGCCAUACACAUGUAAAUAACUUUAUAAUGACAAGUUGUGGUUAUGAAGGGAGGGGAUGGGUUGCUUUGGGCCACAGUGCACGGCGAUGCUCGGGCAACAUUGCUGCAACGGUGUUUUUCUUCCUGAACCGGAGAACGAGGAGGCUGGGGACCUUCAGCAAUGUCACACGGCAGCUACUGAAGAUGCCUAAAACACUUCCCCCAAAAGGUAUGCAACACUAACCAGCUUUGCUCUAAUAAAGCUGCUCACCUGAGAGGCUCAAUUACAUCUGCAGCGGUCUCUUCAGAAAGAGCAUUUAAAAGGCAGCUUUGCCCUUGACUCUUGAUUCUGCAAGUCAAAAGCACUUAACUCAAAAACCUCUGGGUUACCAACACCAGAUCGGGGCAUCUGCCGCCAAGCCAGACCGCCCCCUGCCUCACGCUCUGACACCAAAGGCACCUGCAUUAUCAUGAUGCUGUCACUGAGUCAACUGCAGCUUGGGAAGGUGAGCAUGCCACCCUGAUAUUCCCAGGACUCCUUUCAAGGAAGCGCUGCCAAGUACAUCUUCCCGCGAAACCUACGAUCCUGUUCCAUUCUGACCCGGAUUCUGCUUCAGAAAAACCAAACCAAACCAAAAAAAAAAAUUUUUAACUCCUCUUAUUGGAUUCGCUGUGACUCUAAAUUUCUCUGAAGAUUCUGGAGUGGGAUCUCAUCUUACACUGAUGAGGCUAGGUUCUAGAGUCGGUACAUAAAAGCAAAUCUGAAUAUCGUCAGAAUUACUCUUGAAAUGCUAAAAUAUCCUUUGGCGCUGGCUCCAUCUAACCAAGAGAGCCAGUGUUUGUUCCAGGGCUGGCUCGGAUCCACUCCUCUGGUUGAACUACCGGUCAAAGAAGCUGCCUUAACCGGUAGUUCAAUCAAACUACCGGUUAAACCAGUAGUUACUACAGACCAGGUUACUACGCAAUUCACAUGAGGACCUCACAUUCAAGAUGCUCCAACUAAGAGACGCACAAGGACACAGAUUCCAAAAACAAAAGAUUCCCUUCUUCUUCGAGCUCUCUGCUCAGUGUGCAGAAGGGAGAAAGCCACCAGCACUAUGGGAAUUCCUGUUUGUCUUGCCUCAAGUUAAAUCUGGGUAGGUUAAAUGUGUACUGAAUGGAAGGCACUGAAUCUCUGCUUAAGACUGGGACAUCUCAGUGGCAAGGUCUUUCUUUUCAUCAUCGCCAUGUCCUCAGAACUAGCAGACCUCCUGCACACAGAAGGUUCCUCUUCAACGUCACUGGAACACCCUCUCAUAAUUAACCUACCAAAGGCCAGGCCGUCAGGACAUUCUGCAGUCAGGGGCAGGAUAAGGAUCCACAGAUGAGAGGACCUGGGAACCAAAGUCUGGCUCAACUUGAUGAAGACCUUCCGAAGAACUGUAACUCUGCAUAACAACAAGUUUACUACUAAGCAGGGGUCAUUAGUCAUCUAUCAGAUAUGAUGCGGCAGAGAAAAACGCACUGGGCUGAGGGUGGACUAGUCAACAACCAAUGGAACAAUGAUAUUUUUGUGAAUAUGGUCAGUGGUCAACAAAUAAUAAGAAAUACAAGGACUGCAUAUAUAGUUUUCCCUAAAGCUAAAUAGCUCUGAAUAUCUAAACUGUCCUUAACAACAGAAGACAAUGUUGGCAGGUCAAUCAAGGUCAGCUCGUAGGAAGCAUAUGACUUUUGACAAAAUAAACCUCAAAUACGAGCAAACACUGGUAUGCCCUAUUUAUAACGAAUAUGCUUCGAUGCUACAUGUUCAUCGAUGUUAAUACAAUUAACAUUUUCAUCUACAUCCAACAGUAACCUCGGACUACAAGCAUAACAUAGCCCAACAGAAACUGCUAUCAAGAGUAUAGAUCUUACUUUAUUUUUACCUUCACCUGACAUACUGUGGCCGUGUACUGACCACUUAGGAACAUUCUUCUGGCCGUAAAUCCAAUCAAUAAUUCACUCAUGCAGAACAUAUAACUGUACAUUGUCUGCUCAUACAAACCCAUUGCUGGUGAGUGCCGAUCAGAGAGCAGAAAACCAAAGCCGUUCAUGCACCCAGCGUCCCUUCUCAGAGGACUAGCCUGAAAAUGAUCCUUGUCCUGCCUACAAAUGAAAUACUUAAAACAAUGUUUUGAUGCUCCGAGUUAUACCUGACAUAUUUGUCGAUUUUCCCAGACGCUGGGAGUGAUUAGAUUUGGGGGUCAGUUGCUCUAAGGUCAUGUGCAGACCACACAUUUUAAUUUCAAAUAGAGGAUGACAAACCUGAUAAGCAAAACUUUAUAAGAUAAAAGGAUAUGAAAUCAACUUACACUACUAGUUGGUAUGGGGAAAACUUUUGUAUUAAGUCCUGUCACCUAAAGGUACGGAACCUGGUGUUACAAGAGAAAAUUUUCAUGACAAAAAUAACCUUGAUAAGUUACGGCACCUAGAAAACGUACUGUUAUAAACUACUUCAAACCAUGGAGAACGUUUAUUCUCAGUGAGGGAGGGGGGCAGAGGGGAAAGAGAAUUUGGCUUCAUGUUUACAGGCGUUUAUUGGUAAAGAACAUAUUCUUAGGGGUUCACAAUAAAUCUGGAAAGAUCAUUACCCACGAUCGUGCAAUGGACAAGACUGGCAGGCGGGUGGUCAGAACUGCAAAGGGUUAAGCUAUAAAGACAAUGAAACGGCCUAGAAGUUCUUUAAAACUCAAUUAAAAUAAAACCAGUUCCUGUUAGUUUUUCCAAUCCAGAUUUAAGACUCAUUCUGUAUUAUCUAUUCAUAUGAAAAAGGUUACAGAAAUUGAAUUUUGAAUUAUGCUAACCCAUUUUUCUCAGCUAUAGAAAACGUUGGCUUCCAGCCCAAUGAAUACAAUGGCUACAUGUUCAAGACCUUUAAUUAUCUAAUUAAUGUAGUGUCAUUUUAGCAAUUAGUUCAAAUGACCAUAUGUAACUUUUUUCUUUUUAAGAUCACAACUGUAAAUAUUUUUUAAAAUACUUGUUAUACGUGCCAUAUCCUGUGCAUUAAAGAUAUAUAAAUCCGAUUAAAAACAGAAAAUGACCAAGAAAGCUUUUAAACCAAAACAAAACAAACACAAAACCAACCCUAACAUGGGCAAUGGCUGAUUUUCAUAUGAUUAAACUCAUAGGGUAAGUUCACAGAUAUCCUACUGAACUACAGUUGUGACGAGGAAUUACUACCUGGGUUGGCAGAUAUUAUCAAAGGAAAUUACAAGGCAUGUUUGGGGUGGGGUUAAGAGCAAGAAUUCAUUCUGAUGAAGACCCUAAUAAAUGGCAUUAUAAAAUGAAUAAUAAUUAGAAAAACUCUUCACAGAAGAUUGCUCUUCCUCCGCAUUUUCUCCCACUGUGGAGCUGAAUUUUAACUUUAAAUUCUUCAUUGACUCUGCAACUCAGGUAGUGCCACAAGUUGCUUCUAUAAUCUACUAAUCCCAGGGCUUGUGGAUUCCAAAGCUAAUGAUGUAGAAAAGUAUACUCAUGCUAAAGAAAUCAUUUCUGGGACUUCCCUGGUGGUGCAGUGGUUCAGAAUCCGCCUGCCAAUGCCGGGGUCACGGGUUCGAGCCCUGGUCCGGGAAGGUCCCACAUGCCACAGAGCAACUAAGCCCGUGCGCCACAACUACUGAGCCUGCGCUCUAGAGUCCGCGAGCCGCAGCUACUGAGCCCACGUGCCACAACUACUGAAGCCCACGCGCCUAGAGCCCGUGCUCCGCAACAAGAGAAGCCACACUGCAAUGAGAAGCCUGCGCACCGCAACGAAGAGUAGCCCCCGCUCGCUGCAACUAGAGAGAGCCCGCGUGCAGCAAAGAAGACCCAACGCAGCCAUAAAUAAAUAAAUAAAUAUUUUUAAAAAAGAAAGAAAUCAUUUCUGUGCCAUUUGUUUGGUCCCUCUAUUUGGCAAUCCGUCCAUGAUGGGAUGAAUGGCUAACAUCGCUGGACAUCUGUCAUGAUCUCUCUCGUUUCUGAUGGGCCAAAACCUGGUUCCAAGGAGAUGUUAUUUAUUUGGGAACACAGAGACAGUCAUCUGUAAUUGGUGAGGAUUAACUGAAAUCCUCCGUUGGGGGGGGGCGGAAAUUUAGCACAUAUGACCCUUGCUUUUAAAGAGUCUGCAAUCUGAUGGAGAAAGCCAGGUGGCACGCACGUAUACACACACACACAGACACACACACACACACACACACACACACACACACGAGUAAGCCCAGAGUUCUUGGAGGCUAUUGUGCCUUAAACGCUGUGCAUUAUUUAGAAAACUCCUUCACAAUCCCUGGAGUUUUAGCAUGUAGAAGUGAAGUCUAUAGUUUGUAGUGAAAUGGCAAUGCUUUCCUUGGGUCUCAGCGAGGCUUCAAGGCAGUCUUAGUUCAAGGAGAGGAGAAACUGCCAUUUUUCAAGCACUAUUAUAGUCCAGAUAUCAUUGUAAGGGGUUUAAAGAUAUUGCUACCUACUUCAUUUCUCACAACUAUCUUGCAAGGUCGAUGGUGUUUGUUUUCUGAAGAGGUGGAACUCAAAUAUUUCUCAGCCCAUUUCUCCACCUGUACUGGAGUAGAGGGAGAGGCUCUCCCAGACCCCAUCAACUCUGAAAUCCCACAGCCCGCAGCUGAGGGACUGCCUGCUUGGCUUCCCCUACUAACCGCAGUCCCACCGCCACGGUCCCACCGCACGUCACUGCUCUUCUCUUGAGACCCUUCUUCCUCACCAGCCUCACCUUCCGCUGCUUCCUACCCCAUGGUGCAUAUUCGAUUAAGAGCAGAUACCUGCAUUUCUCCAAAAAAGACAUACAAUGGCCAAGAGUCACAUGAAAAGAUGCCCAAUAUCACAAAUCAUCAGAGAAAGGCAAAUCAAAACUACAAUGAGGUAUCACCUCACACCAGUCAGAAUGGCCAUCCUCAAAAAGUCUACAAGCAAUAAAUGCUGGAGAGGGUGUGGAGAAAAGGAAACCCUCCUGCACUGUUGGUGGGAAUGUAAAUUGAUGCAGCCACUAUGGAGAACAGGAUGGAGGUUCCUUAAAAAACUAAAAAUAGGGCUUCCCUGGUGGCGCAGUGGUUGGGAGUCCGCCUGCCGAUGCAGGGGACACGGGUUCGUGCCCCGGUCCGGGAAGAUCCCACAUGCCGCGGAGCAGCUGGGCCCGUGGGCCAUGGCCGCUGGGCCUGCGCAUCCGGGACCUGUGCUCCGCGGCGGGAGAGGCCACAGCGGUGAGAGGCCCACGAACCGCAAAAAACAAACAAACAAACAAACAAACAAAAAACUAAAAAUAGAACUACCAUGAGACCCAGCAAUCCCACUCCUGGAUAUAUAUCUGGAGAAAAACAUGGUUUGAAAGGAUGCAUGCACUCUAGGGUUUAUUGCAGCACUGUUUACAAUAGCCAAGACAUGGAAGCAACCUAAAUGUCGAUUGACAGAUGAAUACAUAAAGAAGAUAUGGUACAUACAUACAAUGGAAUAUUACUCAGCCAUUAAAAAGAAUAAUGCCAUUUGCAGCAACAUGGAUGGACCUGGAGAUAAUCACACUAAGUGAAGUAAGUCAGACAGAGAAAGCUAAAUAUCAUAUCACUUAUAUCCAGAAUCUAAAAAAAAAAAAAAAUGAUACAAACUUAUUUACAAAACAAACAGACUCACAGACUUAGAGAACAAACUUAUGGUUACCAGGGAGGAAGGGUCGGGGGGUAGGGAGAUAGAUUGGGAGUUUGACAUUGACAUGUACACACUGCUAUAUUUAAAAUGGAUAACCAAAAAGGAUCUACUAUAUAUAUAUGUAUAUAUGUAUAGCUAUAUGUAUAGCACAGGGAACUCUGCUCUAUACUCUGUAAUAACCUAAAUGGGAAAAGAAUUUGAAAAAGAAUAGAUGUGUGUAUAUGUAUAACUGAAUAACUCUGCUGUACACCUGAAACUAACACAACAUUGUUAAUCCACUAUACUCCAAUAUAAAAUAAAAAAUUUUUAGAAGAGCAUAUACCUGCAUGGCUCCGAGAAUCCCAUACACUUCCCUCCCUCUGAUCCUUCUGCAUGAGUAGCCCUUCCUUCCUUUGUCUGCCUGGUGAACUUGGUUCACCAUUCAACGUAGCUGAGAUACCACCUCCUCCUGGGAGCCUGCCGUGUUGCUCCCUCCCACUUCUUACUCUAUGCUCUCCAUACCUUAAGCACACUUAGAUACUUAAAUAAAUUGCAGCGGAGUGUGAUCUAUCUCCUUGACUGAGCUGUGAGUUCCUUCAGAACAAAGCAAAACCCGCCCCUUUACCCCUAGUGUUUAUUACAGUAACAUCCAUACCACAGGAGCUUCAUAAUUACUGCCGAACUGUUAAAUGGGUUUUUAACAGCUCCAAAAAAUAGGAACAGAAAGAAAACCAGGACUGAGGUGGGAGAGCAAAUGUGAUGAAGUACCUGACAAUAUGAAAAAAGAGAGAAAGAAACCAAAACUAUGAAAAGCCCCACCCCCCAAAAAAAUGCAGAAGAGGUAUGAUGUGACCUUCUUAAUGUUAUGACUUCUUUUGCAGUGUAGGUUUCUGAAAAGCAAGACGUGUCAUAAGUAAUGUAACAAUCAACAAAGCUGUAACAGCAUUACAAAUGAUACCCAUUUGUGGGGAUGUACCCUCACCAUUAAACCUGUUUCCAAACAAGCAUUCUGCAGGAGAUAAUACACAUUCCAGGUGUCAGAGAUGCAAUUCUGGAAGCCACACAGAAAACCAGGUUUUCAGAAAGCCAUGAGGUUGCAUUCAUUUUCAUUUACUUAUACUGUUGAUGUAUCAUAUUGAUUUUUUUCCAAAGGACCCAUAGCUGGAAAUGAAUUUCUUUCAUACAGUUCAUAACAACUACAUAUCUAUCUACCUACCUACCUACCUACCUACCCACCCACCAUCCAUCCAUCUAUCCAACUUUAUAUUUGGAUUUGGUAUAUACGUACAUACACCAAAUCACUGAAUGGUAAGAGACUAAUCCAAUGGUAUGAGACUAUUUUUAAUUGUCAAAAAGGUAAAAAACCAUCAACAACAGCUUUAAUUGUCCUGUGGUAGGGUCAGACAGCAACUAAGUACUUUCUGAAGCAGGUGGUCAGUGAUGUAUGCCCAACCAUAUAAUAAAGCGUCUACAAGAACAAAAGCUGUAUAUAUUUUUUUCCUUUGAAAUGUGGAUCCACGGGGUAAAUGUUCUUGCGAAAAUAUUAAUUAGCAAGUCUUGGUUGUUGGGAAAGAACUGUGGCCAGAAGGGUACAAGUGAUAGAUAGCAAAAACAUAUUUGAAUACAUUCCACCAAAGUAAAAUCCUGAAACUGAAUUACCAAUGACACAAGCCCAAACAAGGUCUCCUGUGCAUGUGCUAAACUGAAAGUCAUACCAUUGACGUUCCCUAGACACAGAUUCUUCACAAUGUGGCAGCUUCUCCGAGACAGCCAGGGUAACGCAAAGAGAGGGCCAGCACACGGCACUCCAAAGCUAUGAACUGGGACUUGUCCAAAAUGUGUUGAUGGGGGUGCCAAGGAUGAAUGUGGGGUACAACCUUACCCAUUUAAAUGGUUUAGUAACUAAAACCCAGAAAGGUUAAGUAAAUUAUCCAAUGUCACAAAGCUGGGAAGUAGAAGAGUGUGGAGUUAAACUCUAGCUGGUCUGGCUCCAAACCAAGGAGUCAUACCCAGUGCUGUCUGAACUUCCUUCUUGGUGAAUUCGGGGCUGGAUGAAAGGAAAGCCUCCAGAUGAGCUGGUGUCGGGGCACCUAUACUCACAGUGGCAGGGCGGGAACUUAGGGGACAGGUGCUGGAGGCUCUAUUCUAAAGAAGGCUGAUGUGAACAAGCUAUUAAAACACUUUAAUUUCACAAAAGAAUACUUUAUAUUUAAAAUAUUAAUACACUGAA